GAUUAAGUUAUUAAGGGCGCACGGUGGAUGCCUUGGCACUAGAAGCCGAUGAAGGACGUUACUAACGACGAUAUGCUUUGGGUAGCUGUAAGUAAGCGUUGAUCCAGAGAUUUCCGAAUGGGGAAACCCAGCACAAGUUAUGUUGUGUUAUCGACAAGUGAAUUCAUAGCUUGUCAGAAGGCAGACCCGGAGAACUGAAACAUCUUAGUACCCGGAGGAAGAGAAAGAAAAUUCGAUUCCCUGAGUAGCGGCGAGCGAAACGGGAAGAGCCCAAACCAAUAAGCUUGCUUAUUGGGGUUGUAGGACACUCUAUACGGAGUUACAAAGGAAUAUAUUAAACGAAUCAUCUGGAAAGUUGAAUCAAAGAAGGUAAUAAUCCUGUAGUUGAAAAUAUAUUCUCUCUUGAGUGGAUCCUGAGUACGACGGAGCACGUGAAAUUCCGUCGGAAUCUGGGAGGACCAUCUCCUAAGGCUAAAUACUCUCUAGUGACCGAUAGUGAACCAGUACCGUGAGGGAAAGGUGAAAAGUACCCCGGAAGGGGAGUGAAAGAGAACUUGAAACCGUGUGCUUACAAGUAGUCAGAGCCCGUUAAUGGGUGAUGGCGUGCCUUUUGUAGAAUGAACCGGCGAGUUACGAUCUGAUGCAAGGUUAAGCAGAAAAUGUGGAGCCGUAGCGAAAGCGAGUCUGAAUAGGGCGUGUAGUAUUUGGUCGUAGACCCGAAACCAGGUGAUCUACCCAUGGUCAGGUUGAAGUUCAGGUAACACUGAAUGGAGGACCGAACCGACUUACGUUGAAAAGUGAGCGGAUGAACUGUGGGUAGCGGAGAAAUUCCAAUCGAACUUGGAGAUAGCUGGUUCUCUCCGAAAUAGCUUUAGGGCUAGCCUCAAGUGAUGAUUAUUGGAGGUAGAGCACUGUUUGGACGAGGGGCCCCUCUCGGGUUACCGAAUUCAGACAAACUCCGAAUGCCAAUUAAUUUAACUUGGGAGUCAGAACAUGGGUGAUAAGGUCCGUGUUCGAAAGGGAAACAGCCCAGACCACCAGCUAAGGUCCCAAAAUAUAUGUUAAGUGGAAAAGGAUGUGGCGUUGCCCAGACAACUAGGAUGUUGGCUUAGAAGCAGCCAUCAUUUAAAGAGUGCGUAAUAGCUCACUAGUCGAGUGACACUGCGCCGAAAAUGUACCGGGGCUAAACAUAUUACCGAAGCUGUGGAUUGUCCUUUGGACAAUGGUAGGAGAGCGUUCUAAGGGCGUUGAAGCAUGAUCGCAAGGACAUGUGGAGCGCUUAGAAGUGAGAAUGCCGGUGUGAGUAGCGAAAGACGGGUGAGAAUCCCGUCCACCGAUUGACUAAGGUUUCCAGAGGAAGGCUCGUCCGCUCUGGGUUAGUCGGGUCCUAAGCUGAGGCCGACAGGCGUAGGCGAUGGAUAACAGGUUGAUAUUCCUGUACCACCUAUAAUCGUUUUAAUCGAUGGGGGGACGCAGUAGGAUAGGCGAAGCGUACGAUUGGAUUGUACGUCUAAGCAGUGAGAUUGAGUGUUAGGCAAAUCCGGCACUCUUAAGAUUGAGCUGUGAUGGGGAGAGGAAAUUGUUUCCUCGAGUCGUUGAUUUCACACUGCCGAGAAAAGCCUCUAGAUAGAGAUUAGGUGCCCGUACCGCAAACCGACACAGGUAGUCAAGAUGAGAAUUCUAAGGUGAGCGAGCGAACUCUCGUUAAGGAACUCGGCAAAAUGACCCCGUAACUUCGGGAGAAGGGGUGCUCUUUAGGGUGCAAGCCCAGAAGAGCCGCAGUGAAUAGGCCCAAGCGACUGUUUAUCAAAAACACAGGUCUCUGCUAAACCGUAAGGUGAUGUAUAGGGGCUGACGCCUGCCCGGUGCUGGAAGGUUAAGAGGAGUGGUUAGCUUCUGCGAAGCUACGAAUCGAAGCCCCAGUAAACGGCGGCCGUAACUAUAACGGUCCUAAGGUAGCGAAAUUCCUUGUCGGGUAAGUUCCGACCCGCACGAAAGGCGUAACGAUUUGGGCACUGUCUCAACGAGAGACUCGGUGAAAUCAUAGUACCUGUGAAGAUGCAGGUUACCCGCGACAGGACGGAAAGACCCCGUGGAGCUUUACUGUAGCCUGAUAUUGAAAUUCGGCACAGCUUGUACAGGAUAGGUAGGAGCCUUUGAAACGUGAGCGCUAGCUUACGUGGAGGCGUUGGUGGGAUACUACCCUAGCUGUGUUGGCUUUCUAACCCGCACCA
rnacentral:rRNA from 1 species